UGCAUGUGUAUGCACACAUGUGCUUGAAGGCUUGUGUUGAUAUGUGCUGAUAAGUGACAGGUUUGGGAAGAGAGUUGCCAGCCUCUCUCAGCAGUUUGAGGCCUUGACCAAAGGUCUUUGUUUAUGUUCUCCAUGGAGUGUAAGUCUGGCAUUGAGGAAGUUGGGCUCAUCUAUGCUUUGAAGUUAUCACCUCACUUGGUCUAAAGCUUUUCGACUCCUGCCAUUCAUAGUUGUCUGGCAGUGAACAGCUGAUAGCCUUAUUCUCUGUCUUGGACACUUAAUGAUGGUAAGGCAUUAGUGAUGGCAUUUACGAGUACUUUUGACAAGAAAUCCCUCAGCUAAAACCUUGGCUAUGGGUUAGAAUAACUGGUAUGGACUCAAAAUGUUAAACAAAUAAAUCUUUAGGUUACUAUUGAACAUGAGAAGAGGCUAUGUCUAUUUAUAAUUUCCCAGGGGAUUCAUGAAUAGCCAUUGCCUGAUUUUUACUAUUUUUAUUUUUUGUUCGUCAUAUACUUAGUAUUGUAAAUUGGAUGACAAUUCUUUGUCCAUAGUUAUUUUAGAUUUCUGCAGGGAGUUAUAAAUAAGGGAUCUUUUUCUUUCUUUCUUUUUUUUUUUUUAAAUCUCAUUCAUUCUUCUGCCAUGUAAUUGUCUCUUUGCCUUGGCUAGAUCUAUUCAGUGAACAAGAAAAAUCCGAAUUAGCUGUGGAAGGACGCCAAAAACAGGGGCAGAAGAUGGCAGUGGAAAUAUCAAAAUCAGGGCACUUGUGAAGCAUAUUGUGAUUGCAAAAGGAAGGAAAGAAUCUUCAAAAUAGAUUUGUUCUGCCUUUUUUUUCCCUUAAAAGAUUUGUUAUCUAUUUUUGUAGCCUUGUCUAAGGCAGAGGAGCUGGUCCAGGCUUCACAAGGCUACUUCCUCCCCCGUACUCCAUUCCAAACAGUCUUUGGUUUCUUUUGCUGAUCAGGAGGGUGGCUUUGAGACAUGAAGCAAUGGAAAAAAGUAGGUGCUUGAGUGUUCCAUUUGACCAGCAGGGCCCUGUGUCUGGUUUCCCAGGAGGUAAGUCCCCUGUUACAUGAGAACUUAAAUGGCCUAUGUGUGCUGUUUCUGGAAGUGGUAUUUAAAUGCCAGGCACUAGUAACCUUAGUUUAGUUUUGUUUUUGUGUGUAUUUAUUUUCAAUGCUGGAGAUUGAACCCAAGGCCUUGUACAUGCUAAGCACGUACCAUACCACUAAGCUAUUCUCAGACCCCCAUGCCCUUGUAAAUGAGAUGAUAAGGACUCUGAAGGCUUAUCGCCACAAUGACAAUGAAUAGAAAUUGAAAAGCUUAACACAGAGGUCUGAUACAAGUAAGCCCUCAAGUAACUGUGCAUUGCUAGCAAUAUUUGUAUGGCAUUUGCAUCAACUCCUGAUAACAACCUUACUUAUUGUUAAAAACAAAACAAAAAACGAAUCUGAGGGAAAUGGAGAAUAUCAUGUAAACUUGUUCCUCAGUGAGGCAGUGCCUGAGUUUGAAUUUGAACUGUUUGAUCUACAGAUGCAAUGUUUGUGCCUGAGCACCCAUGUUAGUGAUAAGUGCCUCUGUGCAAUCACUGCAGCUUUUGUAGCUAAGUCUGGAUGCUCUCGUUUAGUCUUCAUGAUCUUUGACUUCCCUGAGUUAACUGUGGUCAUGUUACUUCCAAGAGAUGGGCAGGAGGUUUACCUUUAUGUCUUCAUUCCAUCUUCUGUCCCCAUGGCUCAGGAACCAAAGGGUGAAUUACCCAUGUGUCAGCAAAAUAAGUCUUCUGAUUUUGAUGCUCUGAUUUCCCAGGAACCUUGUCUUCUGCUUUUCUUACGCUGGGGGAAGUAGGUCAGUCAUUAGGGAGAAGCCACUACUAUCUCACUGGCAGAGAGGAUUGGAUGCCCCUGCUGGGAUGUUUCAGAGGGAAAACUGGUAGCAGAGAUGUGCCUUUGUAGAAAUGAGGGAAAUGUAUGAAAUCAACUAUGGACUUUGCAGACUCUGUGUGUGUUUGUGUGUGUGUGUGUGUGUGUGUGUGUGUGUGUGUGUGUUGGGGAUUAAACCUAUGGCCUCACUCAUGCUAAUUGUCCCUUGAGCUACUUUCCUAGCCCCUGGUAGGUUCUUAAUACCCAUGACUUCUGUUUCCUUAUCUAGAAAGUCAUUGUAAGAAAUAAAGAAUAUAUUAGACACAUCAGAAUCAUUUUAUUUAUUCUUGCUGCUGCUAAUGAAAACCUACUCUUGCCUUGUAUGACUUUUAAGGUCCUCAAGGCCUGCCACUUAACACAUGCAUGUGAAAUGCAUUAAGUCACUUUGGUAGUUCACAGAACAUAUUCUGUUCAGUUUAGCCUUCAUCAGGGAAGAAUGUCUACAGUCUUUGCUAAUUGGUUUUCUUUGUUUCCAUUGUGGAAGAAGUUGCCAUGUAGACUUCAGAGAUGCAUUCUCACGAGUUGAUCACUAGCCAGUGUAGACUUUUGGUGGAGGAAAGAAGAUGGGACUGAGGUUCGCAUCUGGAAGCUGUGCGUAGGUAUAACAUUGAGAUUGUGAACUGUGAGCACUUGACUUGUUGGUCAUCUUGAAUCCUGCAGGUGCAGAGUGGGGAGGCUUGAUUAUCCCACAUCCACUUCUCUCUCACUGUG